AUUGAACGCUGGCGGCAUGCUUUACACAUGCAAGUCGAACGGUAACAGGCCUUCGGGUGCUGACGAGUGGCGAACGGGUGAGUAAUGCAUCGGAACGUGCCCAGAGGUGGGGGAUAACGCAGCGAAAGCUGUGCUAAUACCGCAUGUGAUCUGAGGAUGAAAGCGGGGGACCAGGCAGCAAUGUUUGGCCUCGCGCCUUUGGAGCGGCCGAUGUCAGAUUAGGUAGUUGGUGGGGUAAAGGCCUACCAAGCCGACGAUCUGUAGCUGGUCUGAGAGGACGACCAGCCACACUGGGACUGAGACACGGCCCAGACUCCUACGGGAGGCAGCAGUGGGGAAUUUUGGACAAUGGGCGCAAGCCUGAUCCAGCAAUGCCGCGUGCGGGAAGAAGGCCUUCGGGUUGUAAACCGCUUUUGUUCGGGAAGAAAUCCUCUGGGCUAAUACCCCGGGGGGAUGACGGUACCGGAAGAAUAAGCACCGGCUAACUACGUG
rnacentral:rRNA from 1 species